AUACGGAGGAUGCGAGCGUUAUCCGGAUUUAUUGGGUUUAAAGGGAGCGUAGGCGGGAGCUUAAGUCAGCGGUUAAAUGGUGCGGCUCAACCGUGCACUGCCGUUGAAACUGGGUUUCUUGAGAGUGCAAGAGGCGGAUGGAAUUCAUGGGGGAGCGGGGAAAUAGUUAGAUAUCAUGAAGAACUCCGAGUGCGAAGGCAGUCGGCUGGGGCACGUCUGACGCGGAUGAUCGAAGGUGCGGGAAUCAAACAGGAUUAGAUUCCCUGGUAGUCCGGACGGUAAACGAUGAUUACCCGCUGGCGGCGGCAGACAGUCGGCGGCGAAGCGAAAGCGAUAAGUAAUCCACCUGGGGAGUACGCCGGCAACGGUGAAACUCAAAUGAAUUGACGGGG
rnacentral:rRNA from 1 species